UUGAACGCUGGCGGCAUGCCUAACACAUGCAAGUCGAACGGGCUGUAGCAAUACAGCUAGUGGCGGACGGGUGAGGAAUACAUAGGAAUUUGCCUUUAGGUGGGGGAUAGUCCGGGGAAACUCGGUUUAAUACCGCAUGAUCUCGCAAGAGCAAAGCAGGGGAUCGUAAGACCUUGCGCCUUUAGAGAAGCCUAUGUCGGAUUAGCUAGUUGGUAGGGUAAUGGCCUACCAAGGCGACGAUCCGUAACUGGUCUGAGAGGACGAUCAGUCACACCGGAACUGAGACACGGUCCGGACUCCUACGGGAGGCAGCAGUGGGGAAUAUUGCGCAAUGGGCGAAAGCCUGACGCAGCAACGCCGCGUGGGGGAUGAAGGUCUUCGGGUUGUAAACCCCUUUCAGCAGGAACGAAAAUGACGGUACCUGCAGAAGAAGCCCCGGCCAACUACGUGCCAGCCGCCGCGGUAAU
rnacentral:rRNA from 1 species